AGCUACAGCUCUGGUUGCCUAAGCAAGAGCUUCACGGAUCUUGAAGCCCCAAUAGUAACUGGAGAAAAACGCUUGGGAAAUUAUAUCCUUGGUGCACAGCUGGCUGCAUCUGAUGCAGAAGAUUAGACUAAACAAAAAGUUCCAACUAAGGCCAGAGUGGGAGAUUUCGCUCAUCCUCCCUCCCGAUCCUGCACACUACCUUCCUAUUAGAGGACCAACUCCAUAGCAGAAAGUGACUUGAAUCUCAACAGAGUUCUUACUCUCCAUGGGCUUGUUGCUCAAGGCCACCAUGGGAUUCUGUUUUCUGUUCCCCAGCAGUGAAGACUCCAUGGCAACUCCAGGUGUGGACCAAGUGAGUACAGGAACAGUCCUUUCUGUCAGUAGAAGCUGCAGCUGGCAUGUGGGCAGAACAAGCAAGGCCAUGCAUGG
ensembl:lincRNA Gm15323 predicted gene 15323